UACAGAGGUGGCAAGCGUUGUUCGGAAUUACUGGGCGUAAAGGGCGCGUAGGCGGUUCGUUAAGUCCUGUGUGAAAUCCCCCGGCUCAACUGGGGAACUGCACAGGAAACUAGCGGGCUUGAGUUCGGGAGAGGGAAGCGGAAUUCCGGGUGUAGCGGUGAAAUGCGUAGAUAUCGGAAGGAACAUCAGUGGCGAAAGCGACUUCCUGGACCAAUACUGACGCUCAUGUGCGAAAGCGUGGGGAG
rnacentral:rRNA from 1 species